GAUGAAGAACGUAGCGAAAUGCGAUACGUAGUGUGAAUUGCAGAAUUCAGUGAAUCAUCGAAUCUUUGAACGCACAUUGCACCUCUCGGUAUUCCGGGAGGUAUGCCUGUUCGAGCGUCAUUUGUACCCUCAAGCUCUGCUUGGUGUUGGGUGUUUGUUCCGCCUCUGUGUGUGAACUCGCCUCAAAACAAUUGGCAGCCGGCGUACUUGUUUCGGAGCGCAGCACAUUUUGCGAUCCAGAUCAACGUACAGCGGCAUCCAAGAAGCCUUAUUUAACGCUCUUGACCUCGGAUCAGGUAGGGAUACCCGCUGUACUUAAGCAUAUCAAUAAGCGGAGGA
rnacentral:misc_RNA from 1 species